rnacentral:rRNA from 1 species
AGUACGGCGAGUGAGAGGGAAUAGCCCAGAUUGAAAGCUGGCGUCUUCGGCGUCCGAUUGUAAUCUCAAGAAGUGUUUUCCGCUUCGGACCCGCCUAAGUCCCCUGGGAAGGGGAAUCAUAGAGGGUGAUAAUCCCGUACAUGGGUUGGAGCGCCCGAGGCUUUGUGAUACGCUUUCUAAGAGUCGAGUUGUUUGGGAAUGCAGCUCAAAAUGGGUGGUAAAUGCCAUCUAAGGCUAAAUAUUGGGGAGAGACCGAUAGCGAACAAGUACAGAGAUGGAAUGAUGAAAAGAACUUUGAGAGAGAGUUAAACAGUACGUGAAAUUGCCAAAAGGGAAGGGUAGGAGGUCCUAGAUGCGGCCUGGGAUUCGGCCUUGCUUUUGCUUGGCGUUUUUCCCAUAUUGCACGCCAUCGUCUGUUUUGGGCACUGGAGAAGGGUAGGAGGAACGUCCCUCCCCUCGGGGGUGUGUUAUUCCUCCUACUGGAUACCCCGACCGAGACCGAGGACCGCAUAGGACUCUGGAGAACGGGCCUUCUCCACCUUUACUGUAACGGGGGACCAGCAUAAUGGCCCUCUACCACCCGUCUUG